CCCUUAUUUUUUGACUUUCCAUACAGCACCUAGCAGGAGUAACCACAAGAAACUCGUCAAGCGAAGGAUGCGAAAGUGCACAUGUGCAAAAGCACUUGAGUGUCCUAAAACGACACUACAUGAUCUGAUACUCACGCACAAGGUCCAAGAAAUGUAAAAGCCUGGAUUCUAAAUAAUAUUUUAAAGACACUGUUUGUGGGAGCAUAAAAGGAUUGAGUUGAGAUACAUGCCUCUGACAUUCUAAUUCAACUCUUUACGCUACCUCCAGUUCAUCUUUAAGCACAAACUUUUGAUGGUUGAUAGCUUGAACGAUGAUAACAUUUCAAGAAAUUAGACCGAUAACAGUCAAAAACCCUGAACUUGUCAUCUACAAUUGAUUCUUUUAAGUUGAAAAGAUGCAGAAGCAAUAUUUCUUAUUCCUGAAGAAAUAUCCUUUUUGCAAUUUCCUU
rnacentral:lncRNA from 1 species